CGUAACAGACAGUCAGUAACACGUGGCUAACCUGCCCUUAGGAUGGGAACAACCCGGGAAACUGGGGCUAAUUCCCGAUAGGUGAAGAACUCUGGAAUGAGUCUUUGCCCAAAAGGUGUCGGAUCAUGCUUUCGGCAUCGCCUAAGGAUGGGGCCGCGACCGAUCAGGUUGUAGGUGAGGUAAUGGCCCACCAAGCCUAUAACCGGUGCGGGCCGUGAGAGCGGGAGCCCGGAGAUGGGCACUGAGACAAGGGCCCAGGUCCUACGGGGCGCAGCAGUCGCGAAAACUUUGCAAUACACGAAAGUGUGACAGGGUCAUCCCGAGUGCCGACCGCUGAGGUUGGCUUUUACCCAGUCUAGAACGCUGGGGGAAUAAGGAGAGGGCAAGUCUGGUGUCAGCCGCCGCGGUAAUACCAGCUCUCCGAGUGGUGUGGACGUUUAUUGGGCCUAAAGCAUCCGUAGCUGGCUGAACAAGUCCCCUGUUAAACCCACCGAUUUAAUCGUUGGUCUGCGGGGGAUACUGCUCGGCUAGGGGACGAGAGAGGCAGACGGUAUCCCCGGGGUAGGGGUGAAAUCCUAUAAUCCCGAGAAGACCACCAGUGGCGAAGGCUGUCUGCUAGAACGCGCCCGACGGUGAGGGAUGAAAGCUGGGGGAGCGAACCGGAUUAGAUACCCGGGUAGUCCCAGCUGUAAACGAUGCAGACUAGGUGUUUGGACGGCCACGUGCCGUUCUAGUGCCGCAGGGAAGCUGUUAAGUCCGCCGCCUGGGGAGUACGAUCGCAGGAUUGAACUG
rnacentral:rRNA from 1 species